rnacentral:rRNA from 1 species
UACGGGGGGGCAAGCGUUGUUCGGAAUUACUGGGCGUAAAGGGCUCGUAGGCGGCCAACUAAGUCAGACGUGAAAUCCCUCAGCUUAACUGGGGAACUGCGUCUGAUACUGGUUGGCUUGAGUGCAGGAGAGGAACGCGGAAUUCCAGGUGUAGCGGUGAAAUGCGUAGAUAUCUGGAGGAACACCGGUGGCGAAGGCGGCGUUCUGGACUGCAACUGACACUGAGGAACGAAAGCCAGGGGAGCAAACGGG